rnacentral:rRNA from 1 species
GACGAACGCUGGCGGCGUGCUUAACACAUGCAAGUCGAACGGAGAGGCCCUGCUUUUGUGGCGUGCUCGAGUGGCGAACGGGUGAGUAUCACGUGAGUAACCUGCCCUUGUCUUUGGGAGAACUUCAGGAAACUGGGGUGAAUACCGGAUAGGAGCUCCUGCUGCAUGGGGUGGGUUGGAAAGUGUCGUCGGUUGGGGAUGGACUCGCGGUUUAUCAGCGUGUUGGUUGGUUAGUGGAUUACCAGGGCUUUGACGGGUAGCCGGCUUGAGAGGGUGACCGGCCCCAUUGGGACUGAGAAACGGCCAGGAGUCCUACGGGAGGCAGGAGUGGGGAAUAUUGCACAAUGGGCGGAAGCCUGAUGCAGCAACGCCGCGUGCGGGAUCACUGCCUUCGGGUUGUAACCCGCUUUCGCCUGUGAAGAAGAGUGAGUGACGGUAAUGGGUAAAGAAGCAACGGCUAACUACGUG